CAAGUCGUACGGUAAGCUUCGGCUUAUAGUGGCGAAAGGGAGAGUAACGCGUGGUUACAUGCCCUCGGGACCGGGAUAGCGGCGGGAAACUGCCGGUAAUACCGGAUAAUAUCUUUGGAUCAAAGGUGUGAUUCCGCCCGAGGAUUGGACCGCGUUCUAUUAGCUUGUUGGCGGGGUAAUGGCCCACCAAGGCGACGAUGGAUACCGGGUGUGAGAGCAUGGCCCGGCUCACUGGGACUGAGACACUGCCCAGACACCUACGGGUGGCUGCAGUCGAGAAUCUUCGGCAAUGGGGGCAACCCUGACCGAGCGACGCCGCGUGCGGGACGAAGGCCUUCGGGUUGUAAACCGCUGUCAGUUGGGAGGAAGUGCCGGGGGGUUCUCCCCUCGGUUUGACCGAUCUUCAGAGGAAGGACGGGCUAAGUUCGUGCCAGCAGCCGCGGUAAGACGAACCGUCCAAACGUUAUUCGGUAUCACUGGGCUUAAAGCGUGCGUAGGUGGCCUGGUAGGUGAGGUGUGAAAGCCCACGGCUCAACCGUGGAAUUGCGCUUCAAACCACCAGGCUGGAGGAUGGCAGGGGUGAUGGGAACUGAUGGUGGAGCGGUGAAAUGCGUUGAUAUCAUCAGGAACACCGGUGGCGAAGGCGCAUCACUGGGCCAUUUCUGACGCUGAGGCACGAAAGCUAGGGUAGCGAACGGGAUUAGAUACCCCGGUAGUCCUAGCUGUAAACGAUGAGCACUGGGUUGAGGGGACCUCCACAUCUUCUCGGCCGUAGCGAAAGCGUUAAGUGCUCCGCCUGGGGAGUAUGGCCGCAAGGCUGAAACUCAAAGGAAUUGACGG
rnacentral:rRNA from 1 species